GGACUUGCUUUUGUUGAACUGAUGAUUCAACGAGAAGCAGAUGUAAAAAGUAAGGUGACUGCUGUGGCAUUGACAGACUCUGUUCACAAUGUGUGGCAUCAAGAAGCUGGCAAAACCAUCCGAGAAUGGAUGAGAGAGAACUGCUGCAA